AUGGCGAACCAAGACGGAGGCAAGGGCAAGGGUGCGGAGCGGGAGCUGGAGGAGAUCGGCUCCUGCGACCGCGCAGGUGGUAGCAGCCGCCGGCUGCUAAGGGGAAGCUCUUCCAGGUCCAACGACCGGGCGGGCAUGGACGGGCAGGCUUCCGACGUCGUGCUGCUCGACCUCUCGAGAGAGAGGGCGGCUAUGCGCAACAGAUGGCUGGCGGUAGGCCUGUUCUUCUCGAUGCAGGCGUUCAGCGCCAUGGGCCUCUUCAAGGAGCUGAAGGACAAGUGGGGCUUGCGAGGCAGGCUCCACUACACGCAGCUGAAGAACAACAGGUACCUCCUGGAGUUCGAGAAGGAGGGAGAUCUCCGGUUCAUCCUCGACAACGGGCCGUGGACUCACCGCGGCGAUGCCUUCCUCAUCGUCCCGGUGGACGGGACCAGGGCGCCGGGCAAUGUGAACAUCGCCCAUAUGCCAAUCUGGGCGCAGAUAUUUGAUGUCCCUCCUCUUCCUUUCCAGAGAGGUUGGAGAGAAGCUUGGAUCCCUGCUCGGCGAGGUACUUGA
rnacentral:rRNA from 1 species